AGUUACUUUUUCUAUGAAGAACACAUUAAUUCAGCUCUACCACUUACAACAAAAUCAUGAAAAGAAGGAAAUUUUCGGUACUGAUUCAGUGAUAUACCAGUGAAGUUAAACCAAAGAGGCAUCUCUGCUUACUUAAAAACGUUUAAACGGUCAGAGUAUGCAGUCUCUAAUUACUGGGAACCGAAACUUAAUAUGCGCACGCGUGUGUGUGUGUGUGUGUGUGUGUGUGCGUGCGUGUGUACGUAUGUAUGUGUGUCGGGGGGAGGUGUCUUAUGACCAUCAUUUGAAAAGUCAAAGAGCUCACAGCCAAACAGCACAUGCAAAGCUCAUCUUAAAUCUUUUUCAUUCUAGAACAAAACUUGUUACUUGAAAUGUCUAAAUUUUGUAUGUUGAAAAUAUGUAAAGCUUUUUACAAAUUCCAGAGGGAAAUUAAGAUCGAGAUCAGAGAUUCCUUUCUUUGCUUAAUAUUUCAGAUGCACUUUGUGCUUCUCAAAGAUGAAGACCUAGCAGUAAAACGCACUGGCACUUUACAAAUCAAUUUGUAUUGAACGCAAAUCCUUUCAAGAUCAGCUUUAAUUAGGGAUAUGCAAAUAAAGAGAUGCGUUUGAAGACGAGUUUAGGCAGUAGGUUAGACCAAUGGAAAUAACCAAGAAAAAAGGGUGUUCUUGGGUUUACCAAACUGGAAAAACUGUGAUUUCCAGAUACUCACUGAGCAGGAACUUUUCUCAAAUGUUUCAUUAACUUAGUCAGUCCUAAAGGUGGCCAGAUAACUUUCUCACAGUCACCAGAUAAAACCCACACUGCAGGGCUUCCCUGGUGGCGCAGUGGUUGAGAGUCCGCCUGCCGAUGCAGGGGACGCGGGUUCGUGCCCCGGUCCGGGAAGAUCCCACGUGCCGCGGAGCGGCUGGGCCCGUGAGCCAUGGCCGCUGAGCCUGGGCGUCCGGAGCCUGUGCUCCGCAACGGGAGAGGCCAUGACAGUGAGAGGCCCGCGUACCGCAAAAAAAAAACCCCAGACAACCCACACUGCAGAAGAAUGUUCUGUCAUAAAUAGCCUGAUUAAAAUAUACUGCCCGCUAGAAUUAAAAUAGCAAACACCCAAGACCUCUUGCAGUGCAGUAGGAAAUGUAAAAAGAAGGAAGUAUUUGGAACCAGAGGUAUUUUUGCCUAUACUGAAUAGAUUCGGAUUUCUUUAAAGUUGUUAAGAUUUUGAAAUGGAGAGAACUGAAAUCUAAUUUAAUUCAUAGCAGAGGUAAAUUAGUAAGAAUGUAUUAAAUACUUAAGGGCAAAUCACUGUAGCUGGGCCUCUUUAAGAUUUAACGUUGGAUAAACAGGAGUCAUGUUACUGAAGAAGGACAAGUCAGACUGAGAGAUUUAUGGAGGGAAAUAAACAUCUGUGACUUGUUGGUUUGGGGUUACGGUAAAACAUUGACGUGAAAGUGAAUCACGGGCCGUUAGAAGGGCAGGGCCUAGACGCACAGGUCAAGGCCGGCGAGCGGACGCACACAGGCUGGCGAGGAGGGAGCGGAGAUCCCAGGAGAGGUCUUUGGGGCAGAAGCUGGGCUGAAAAGCAGUUAGAAGACUGAAGGCCCGGUGAAGACGGGGAAGCCCGGAGCCCAGGAGGACCAGAACCGGAGCAGCCAGAGGGGCAAGAGAACAUGCCAGACUCUGGACGGGAAGCCAGAAGCCAGGACGGGGAGGACGAGGGGACGGAGGCCGGGCCCGGAGAGAAGUCUCCUGAGGAUCUGGAGCCGGGACUUGGUGCCAGGAACGGAGGCGCCCCGGGGGGCGGGCGUGGGAAAGCCCUCGAGGCACAGACACGGCCUCUGGCCGCUGGUCCCUGAAAGGGGUCUUCAGGCGCCACCAGGUGUGCUGUCCGGGAGGAAUGUGACGAAGGCGGGUCCCCCACCGGAGCCACCCUCGCGCCACCGUGCGCCCUGCAGCUGCGGGACAGCAGCCUCAGCCGCUCCGGGUCACGCUUCCACUCCGUGGGGACAGAAGCCACCCCUCGCAGGGGCACAUUUAAAAAACACGACGGUCACGCGGUCGUGAACAGGAUGAGAAAGUCACGCAAGACCGUUAAGUACUGCAACUCCGGCGCCGCAGGGGCCGCAGGCCCGCUGCCCGCUCCCCGGGCGCCGAGGACCCGCCCCGCGGGCGAUGGCGGCGCGUCCUCGGGAGCCGGAGCCGGCGGCCGGGCGUUCACGUACGCUUGACAGGUGCCCUGACUUCCACGGAAGGGACCCACCUCAGAGUGGAACUACCCAGCAAAUCCCGGGAAGGCAUCCUGCGCGUCCCCCGCCGCGCAGCACAUCUGCGGGGUCGGGGCGGGGCCGGCGGGCCGGGCGGAUUAACGCGAAGCUGCGCAAGCGCACCUGCUCCCCGGAGCGCUGCUCCCCGCGAACCGUUUCUCACACUCCUUUGUGACCGGCUUUCAGAGCUUGAGCCCCUAUUUUGACAGAUGUGAUCCAGAUGGAUGACCGCGCCAAUGGGUUUCUGAAAAAACGUUAAGACCGAUGAUCUCUGGGUGGCUCAGUCUGAGGCCGUAAGCAGUUCCGAGAGGCGUUUCAGAAAUGGUGUUUGAACGGCGGGCGAUGGCAUCUCUGGAACGUGGGCAGCCUCCCCAAGCGUUCCCGGAGCUGCACGUGCAGCCUCCAACGCCCCGGGCAGCCCCCUGACGCCGGUUCUUUAGUAGACCCACUACUAGCGCUGGUCCCCUUACAUGUCCAUCUUAAGGCGUUUACGCUUUCAUUACAAACGAACACCGUUUCACUUUUCUCUUCGGUAGAGUUGGACCAUCACUCCACAACGAAGCCCGAAAAGCACUGCCCGCACCUGCCUUGCGCGCGCGUCACGGGCUGGUCCUGCAGCUCUCACCCACGUGCCAGGCCGUGUCCUGGGCACCUCAUAGCCCCGGGGGUCAGGCACCCCAGGCUGAAGCCCAGUGCCUCCAGCUCAGAAGAGGGAGCUGGGAUUUGAACCCAAGCAGACCGACACGAGUCCAUUCGAUACCUCAGUCCUAUUUCCUUUUGCUAAGUAAACCAGAUUUGAGGAGAAAAAUCACUUAACGUUUUAUCAGGCAAAGGUACGAAUCAAACUGGGACUUCCGGGCAGUUCUCAAUGUAAAAAACACAGCGAGACGCCAGAGACGAGCUGCCUUCUCAACGUCACCCCUGGUCCCUGGCCAGGGCAGACUCUGUCCCAAUCCCCAGGCCGGCACACCACACGCGACCCCACCUCUCUCCGGUCAACCUCACAGGACCGCCAACAAUAGACACUGGGCCAUCAGCAGGACUCCUGAACACAGCCCUCUGGAAGAGGGCCGGUAAACACUGGCCCACGCUUUCCUGUCUUCUUCAAACCCUUGUGUUAGGUUUCCACGUGAGGGCUGUGAACUAGAGGCCGGGGACAAAAGGCCAGCAAGACGCGAAGACCACGGCCCAGCAGACAGGCCAUGAGGCAGGGCGAGGUGACCGCCGUUCACAGGCACCGCAACAGACACCUGCGUGAGGGGCAGCAGGGGACCAGGGCCUCGCCGGGUCACCUUUAGCUGUGGUUUCUCAACUUUAAAUAAGGGCUGUCCUUCCCGUGUUCUCCAGGUGAUGCUGUUUCCUUUUUAAUGCUCCGCUGUGCCCUGCUGAGGGAAACCGCUGUCUGAACAGGAAGACACGACAGACGACUGACCCGCCUCCCAGCUCCAUCCCCCUCUGUGUGUAGCCCAAGAACAGGGAGAUCGUCACUCUCACCUCUAACACGAAGGCUUCUACCUUGGAGGUACCAUUUCCCUCUUCAAGGGGGCAGGAACAGUCUUACAAGUCACUUACUACGUAAGACCAUGAAAUGAAUGAUGCAGCUGCACAACCAAGGUGAGAUCCAUGCUUUAUGAACACAUUAUUCUCACAAGUCCCAGUGACAGGCUUAACACACAAGAUUCUCAGUUCAUUUUACAGACUCUGGAACCAAGUUGUUCAAAAGAUGAAUUCUGAAACCAUGGUUGGUGUAGCAAAUUAAUAUAUCAAAACAAACAAAAACUUCAAAUAUUUACAUUUAAAAAAGACAUUUAAAAAACAGGCUACUUAUUAAGUAAGUGUGCUUGAACAAACCAUGUGUGGAAUUGAAUUCCAUUCAUUAUGGAGUUAGUUUCUGUUAAACACUGACACUACAGAGACCCCUGGCAUCUGAGGACUCAAGAAUUUAAGUGUUCCCAAUCUAUGCUAAAAAAUAAAACAUGACAGGGCUUCCCUGGUGGCACAGUGGUUGAGAGUCCGCCUGCCGAUGCAGGGGACGCGGGUUCGUGCCCCGGUCCGGGAAGAUCCCACAUGCCGCGGAGCGGCUGGGCCCGUGAGCCACGGCCGCUGGGCCUGCUCGUCCGGAGCCUGUGCUCCGCAACGGGAGAGGCCACAACAGUGAGAGGCCCGCGUACCGCAAAAAAAAAAAAUAA